GGGUCUGUAGCUCAGGUGGUUAGAGCGCAUCCCUGAUAAGGAUGAGGUCAUAAGUUCGAGUCUUAUUAGACCCACCA
rnacentral:tRNA from 1 species